UUGUGCAGGGUGGAGAAGCAGGGCACGUGAGCGGCGCCCAUCCAGUGUAGCUUCGCUGCGCGUACGUCCAUGGCGGCGAACGCGCGUGAUUUGGAGUUUGGAUGGUCGUUCAUGUGUCCGUCUUCUCCACCGAGCACUG
rnacentral:pre_miRNA from 1 species